UAGGGACCAAGCCUACACAACACAUGGCUUCUGGGGACAUGAGAGGCCCAGAGAGCCAUGCUGACCAGUAAGUCUCCCUUGAAACCUUUAUCUGUCACAUGAUGAUACAAGCAUCACCAACUAGAGGGCUUUACAGAGGCAGAGCGGAACACCUGAGAACAGAGGGUCAUGAACUAUAAGGAUCAUAGAGAUGCCAAGAAGAGGACCUGGGAUGACUCAGGAAGAAAGGGUAGAAAGAAGAGAAAUAAAAAUAAUCUUUUUACCUCUCAAGUGGCAGGUACCCCAAGUUGAAAAUCUGUGUUGAGAUGGCAGUUCCAGAAGCUUCAAACUGUACCCUGGAGGAGCUCAUUUAAAAUACAUGUUCCUGAGUGACUG
ensembl:lncRNA